rnacentral:rRNA from 1 species
CGCUGGCGGCGUGCCUAAUACAUGCAAGUCGAACGGUCUUUCUAUGGAAGCUUGCUUCCACUGAGAAGAUAGUGGCGGACGGGUGAGUAACACGUGGGUAACCUGGCCCAUAAGAGGGGGAGUAACAUCCGGAAACGGGUGCUAAUACCGCAUAGUUUUCUUGAUCGCAUGAUCGAGAAAGGAAAGACGGCCUUUGUGCUGUCGCUUAUGGAUGGACCCGCGGCGUAUUAGUUAGUUGGUGAGGUAACGGCUCACCAAGACGAUGAUACGUAGCCGACCUGAGAGGGUGAUCGGCCACAUUGGGACUGAGACACGGCCCAAACUCCUACGGGAGGCAGCAGUAGGGAAUCUUCCGCAAUGGACGAAAGUCUGACGGAGCAACGCCGCGUGAGUGAAAGAAGGUUUUCGGAUCGUAAAACUCUGUUGUCAGAGAAGAACAAGUCGGAGAGUAACUGCUCCGGCCUUGACGGUAUCUGACCAGAAAGCCACGGCUAACUACGUGCCAGCCGCCGC